ensembl:lncRNA
AUAACUACUCUGAUGUUUUCGCUCAUCAUGACCUUGACUUCGGUCACACAACAAAAGUCAAACAUCACAUUCGUCUGAAAGAUGAAACGCCAUUCAAACAGCGACCUCGCCCAAUACAUCCACAAGAUUUUGAAGCAGUGCGCCGCCAUCUCAAAACCCUUCUUGAUGCUGGAGUUAUCAGGGAAUCUGAGUCCCCCUUUUCAUCACCAAUUGUAGUCGUCAAAAAGAAGAAUGGUGAUAUCAGACUGUGUGUAGACUACAGAAAGCUAAACCUCCAAACUAUCAGGGACGCAUAUGCUCUACCUAAUUUAGAGGAGUCGUUUUCUGCACUCAGUGGGUCUCAAUGGUUUUCUGUAAUGGAUCUAAAAUCUGGAUACUACCAGAUCGAGAUGGAGGAAAGCGACAAACAAAAAACUGCCUUUGUCUGCCCUCUAGGGUUUUGGGAAUGGAACCGCAUGCCACAAGGGAUAACGAAUGCACCCUCCACAUUCCAGCGUUUGAUGGAAAAGUGCAUGGGUGAUAUGCAUUUGAGGGAAGUGCUCGUUUUCCUUGAUGACUUGAUUGUUUUCUCAAAGUCUUUGGAAGAACAUGAAAAAUGACUGAUCAGUGUCUUGAACCGACUAAGAGAUAGUGGCCUUAAGCUAUCACCAGAAAAGUGCUGUUUCUUCCAAACAUCAGUACGUUACUUAGGGCACAUUGUAUCAAGGAACGGAGUUGAGACGGAUCCAGAAAAGGUUAAAGCACUCAAGACCUGGCCGAGACCUCAGACCCUGAAAGAAUUAAAAUCCUUCCUGGGUUUCUCUGGUUACUAUCGGAGAUUUGUACAAGAUUAUGCCAAGAUUGUGAAGCCUUUGACCAACCUGACUGCUGGUUAUCCACCAACUCAAAGGAGAAACAAGCCAACCCAACCACCUGGCAAAUACUUUCACCCCAAGGAGCCUUUUGCGGAAAGAUGGACCUCUGCUUGUCAGCAGGCUUUCGAGAACAUCAUAGACAAGCUCACAUCGUCCCCUGUGUUAGG